GACGAACGCUGGCGGCGUGCUUAACACAUGCAAGUCGAACGGAAAGGCCCCUUUGGGGGUACUCGAGUGGCGAACGGGUGAGUAACACGUGAGUAACCUGCCCUUGACUUCGGGAUAACUUCAGGAAACUGGGGCUAAUACCGGAUAGGAAUCCUUGCUGCAUGGUGGGGGUUGGAAAGCUUCGGCGGUUUUGGAUGGACUCGCGGCUUAUCAGCUUGUUGGUGGGGUAGUGGCUUACCAAGGCUUUGACGGGUAGCCGGCCUGAGAGGGCGACCGGCCACAUUGGGACUGAGAUACGGCCCAGACUCCGACGGGAGGCAGCAGUGGGGAAGAUUGCACAAUGGGCGGAAGCCUGAUGCAGCAACGCCGCGGGCGGGAUGACGGCCUUCGGGUUGUAAACCGCGUUCAGCAGGGGCGAAGCUUGUGGUGACGGUACCUGCAGAAGAAGCACCGGCUAACUACGUG
rnacentral:rRNA from 1 species